CUCAAGCAAGCACUAGUAGUAGCUCAGUACACCCACAUAUUUUCCGUCCCUGACGGUGUUGAAUCCCAAUUUAUCUCUUCACCGUGGCCAUUUCAGGCUUUCAGCGCCUUUUUUAUGAUUCUGGUGAUUGCAUUCUGCAUAUUGUUGGCGAAACUAUUUUAUGAAACCUUAACAUUACAUGAAAAUGAAACCUUGGAUUCGAAGGGAUGGACAUAUAUGUCUUUUUAUAGGGUUAUAAAGAUUGUAUUAUAUAGCUUGUGAUGCCGAAAAGUUGGCAGAUUCCAGAUUUUUGUACGCAGGAUAGUUGCCAACUGAAAGUUGAGAUAAUGAUCUUUUGGCAUGUGCUUCUUAUCUUGAAUUUUACCUUGUUUAAUCUUCUAUUAUAAAGUGAACAAAAUAAAUAAAUUAACUCAAUAAAAACCAUGAAGAAACUGGG
rnacentral:lncRNA from 1 species